AACGAACGCUGGCGGCAGGCCUAACACAUGCAAGUCGAGCGAGAUCUUCGGGUCUAGCGGCGGACGGGUGAGUAACGCGUGGGAAUAUGCCCUUCUCUGCGGAAUAGCCUCGGGAAACUGAGCGUAAUACCGCAUACGCCCUUUGGGGGAAAGAUUUAUCGGAGAAGGAUUAGCCCGCGUUGGAUUAGGUAGUUGGUGGGGUAAUGGCCUACCAAGCCGACGAUCCAUAGCUGGUUUGAGAGGAUGAUCAGCCACACUGGGACUGAGACACGGCCCAGACUCCUACGGGAGGCAGCAGUAGGGAAUAUUGGACAAUGGGCGAAAGCCUGAUCCAGCAAUGCCGCGUGAGCGAUGAAGGCCUUAGGGUUGUAAAGCUCUUUUACCCGGGAUGAUAAUGACAGUACCGGGAGAAUAAGCCCCGGCUAACUCCGUGCCAGCAGCCGCAGUAACAC
rnacentral:rRNA from 1 species